UCACUGCACUCCAUGUUUAUUCCAUUUACAAUUGCCUGUUGGAUAUUAUUGGUUCCAGAUCUGUCGUGGGUUCAGAACCUGACUAUGCCACUCAUUGGUUUGAAACUGCUUUUGUCUUCUCUCGGAUAUAGGUUUAGAUGGGAUCUUGGAGGCCAACACAUCUUGAAGGCAAAGUACGAACAAUGUUCCCUCUCCAGCCUCCAACCUUCACCAGUGGGAAGCUCAAGGAGGUAAAAGAAAAGAAAAAGAUAUUAAGUAUUGAAAAGAAUAAGAUAUUCAGCUCUUCCACUGGUGAAUAUGGGUCGUACAGUUCAAGCACCGUUGAGGCUAUUCAGUCUGAAACUGGGGGAUAAUCCAAUUCUCUUGAUAGCCAGAGUGGCUGAAGCAUAAUGCCUAACAGUGAGAGGUGUCAGUGGCAAAGUCUAUGGUUCAGAUUAUUUCUGCAAAAAAUCAAUCGCAUCAGUUGUGUCAGUGGAUCUUGUGGAAGAUCUAAUGGACAAUUAAUUAGAUUAACUGGACUAAUUAAUUGGCACCUGCACAUCACAGGUGAGAUGGAGGUUGAUGCCUGAAGGUAUCACUCUAUAUAAAUGCAAAGUAUUUAUAUUGCAGUCCUGGCGCAGCAUUUCUCCUUCAGGGUCUGCAAGGAAACUCCGGUGAGGAGGCUGGAUGCCUGGCGCACCUCUGUAUGUGCGUGUAAAGGGAGGGGUUGUCCACCAUCUUCUCCUGCUAUGCAGGACUCCCUUCCUUUAGAAAUGCAGCUGGGACUACAUCUGACACUAGGCUGGCACCCAUCCUGCCUCUGUCACCCAAGAGACAUCAGUCCCCCAAAAGGAAGGUGCUAUGUGCAAGUCAGUGUCUGGCGCUGUUGCCCAAGGCAUGGAUAGGAUUGAGCCACAUGUUUUAAUUAAAGCCAGCGAAACCAAAGCGCUGAUACUUCCCUGUGAGCUUCCGUCAGGAGUCUGAAUGUCAAGCUGGGUUGACUCAUUAACUAAUUGCUUUCUUUGGUUUCUCACCCUGCUGUAGAUUCCCCUGGAGGUGAGAAAGCAAGCCUUCGUAGUGCCGGAGAAACCAAUAUUUCUGAAGAUGGUGCCACGAGGUGCUCCCCAAAAGGAGAAAGAGGGAACCCUGGUCGCAUCUCAGCCCCUCAGUGGGUGCAGAAGCCUCAGGUGUUGCUCAGGUGUUGUUCCCAGAAGAAAACUGGAGACACUUGCUAGUUGUGUACAGAGAGACAAGCUCAUGGCUGUAAAUUGCUUCUGGACCUCUUAAAUAGGCAUGGAGGAGAAAUCAGUUCAUGUUUUAAUCGGAACCUGCCAGAUUCACAUUUCUCAAACUAAUCUGCACCUGUCUUUCAAAAUUCUCAGUUACAGUGGUACCUCGGGUUACAUACGCUUCAGGUUACAUACGCUUCAGGCUACAGACUCCGCUAACCCAGAAAUAGUACCUCGAGUUAAGAACUUUGCUUCAGGAUGGGAACAGAACUCGUGCUCCGGCGGCGCGGCAGCAGCAGGAGGCCCCAUUAACUAAAGUGGUGCUAAACAUUGGGUGACCCUGUUCUACACAGUGGCCUGAUAAAAUGUCCAGGAACAUGUUCAGAGCAUGGCAUGUUCCUGGAAACUCUAAUGAAAGCACCCCCAGACCAAUCAAACUAGCCCAACUGGCAGAUGAAGAAGGCACCAGGGCAUCUUCCCAUCCGGCAAGUAGGGGGAUCAAGUAAGUUCGUGGCACACUUAUCAGUUCACCGGCCGGUCGCCCUUCUGCGUACACCGCAAAGCAAACAGUCAGGAUUCCCCCACCUGGAGCUGUCAGCAGAAAUGCCAAGAAGCAAACAAAACACCAUGCGAACUCCUGUCACCUCUGCAGGGACAUGAAUGGCAGCCACGGCUUCUGGGCUCUUUUAACUUAAAGGCACUAGAAAUUUCAGCCCUGCUGCAAAAACAAAAGCCUCCUUUGCUUCCGCCUUUCUUGUGUUUGGUGCAUUGGGAAGAUGGGGGUCUCAGUACAGUGGUACCUCGGGUUACAGACGUUUCAGGUUACAUACGCUUCAGGUUACAGAAUCCACUAACCCAGAAAUAUUACCUCGGGUUAAGAACUUUGCUUCAGGAUGAGAACAGAAAUCGUCCUCCGGCGGCAGCAGGAGGCCCCAUUAGCUAAAGUGGUGCUUCAGGUUAAGAACAGUUUCAGGUUAAGAAUGAACCUCCGGAACGAAUUAAGUACUUAACCCGAGGUACCACUGUAUAUGGAUUUGGCAAUGCAGUUCUCUAGCCGUAGAAUACACGUGGGAAGGAUCCCAGGACAGGGAGAAGGAGAGUCUGCUUUUAUGUUUUGAAACCCCCUUUUUAUUCUUCUGUUCUGAUUUUAUUCCUCAAACAUUUGUAUCGUCUGAGGUGCAAUAAAAAGGAAUGCAAUAAAUGAAAUAAUAUGAACAUGACUAACGGUCAUGACUACGUCUUUGCAGUCGUGAAGUCCAUAGACAAUUGGUUGUCAACCAGUGCACUGUGGCACCCUGAGCAACAUUCAGUGAAACCCCAGGGGGAAGCAGCAGAGCAAGCUGAUCGGGUGCCUGGGGUGACACGCGUGCCUUGCGCCCAGGGGCGGGGCCAGCCAGGGCAGGACACUCCGUGGGGCCUCCGAGGAGUCUGCCUGCCUCCUCCCACUCAGCCGCAUCCCAGGGGAGAUACGUGGCUCAGGCAAGCUGCAGGCCCCGUGGUGAGUGCUGCCCACUAUUUUGUCACCCCCUUAGUGGUGACACUCGGGGCCCCUCGCCCCCCACCCCUUUCCUCCGUCCCUGCCAGGGGGCCCUCCUUUCACUAACUUGAAGCCCUUAUUUCCUGCAUUAUCUAUAUUUCUCUAGAAGGAAGAUUCAGGAAGCCAGUGGCUUUGACCUGCACCCCCUUAUCUUCCAGUGUAAGUGGUUCCCACAAGAGAGAAGAAUUGUGCUUGGUUAAGGGAGCCGCAGACUCAAAAAGGGUGAAAACCACUGCCAUCGACAGUUCUCCCAGAUCCUCAUAAUUUGCUAUUGUGAUGCAAGCCCAUCCAAUAUCCACCUGCAUUUUACAUGCAAGGCAGCGAUGCUCAAAACAUGACGCAGGACACCGAAGGGGGAAGAGACACAGGAGGUGCCGUUCAACAGAGAACAUUCCCCCUCAGCUCACUUCUGCUCCAACUGCAAUAUAAACAGAUCAGACACAAUCUUAAUUAAAGACAGGCAUACACAUCCAGGAGAAAUCACUAGCAGGUUAAUUAAUGGCUUCAAAAGAGAAGAAAAGAUAUCAGCAAGCUCCCAAGCUCUCCAACGUUCAAGGUGUGCUCUUUUGCUUGGAACAAGCAAUUGUUACUCAAGCAACGAUAAUGCAUUGAAAAUUGUCCUUGCACAGCAAUCUGAACUGUCAGAAAGAAAGGCAUUAGCGCGAAUGAGACUCUGAUUCAUUCUAGCAAAGCUGGUGUGUGGGUCUGUGUCCUGCAGAGACAGGACCAAGCCACCAGUGCGAGCCCAAUUUAAAUAACUCAUAGGCGCUUUGGAGAAAAACAAGACCUUCCAUGGUUUAGUAUAUUAAACAACCCUUGUUAAAUGCAGGUUCCUGCUUCUACAUGCUGCAGUUUGUUGAGUUGUUAGAGUUGCCUAACAGUGUGCUGAACCGGACCUGGAAAUGACUCAGAAUUAGUUGCAGUGGGUGAUAGACCUGUGUAACAUCACCAUAGUAUUCAUUCCCAGGAAGGAUUCUUGAAGUUUUAUUUUCAGCAAUCUCCCCUUUACACAGUAGUAGUAGUGUAUCCCAAGCCGGAAUUAAGAUUGCCGGAAAAAAUAUCAACAACCUCAGAUAUGCAGAUGACACACCUUGAUGGCAGAAAGUGAGGAGGAAUGAAAGAACCUUUUAAUGAGGGUGAAAGAGGAGAGCGCAAAAUAUGGUCUGAAGUUCAAUAUAAAAAAAAACGAAGAUCAUGGCCAUUGGUCCCAUCACCUCCUGGCAGAUAGAAGGGGAAGAAAUGGAGGCAGUGAGAGAUUUUACUUUCUUGGGCUCCAUGAUCACUGCAGAUGGCGAGAGCAGCCACGAAAUUAAAAGAUGCCUGCUUCUUGGGAGAAAAGCAAUGACAAACCUAGACAGCAUCUUAAAAAGCAGAGACAUCAUCUUGCCGACAAAGGUCCGUAUAGUUAAAGCUAUGGUUUUCCCAGUAGUGAUGUAUGGAAGUGAGAGCUGGACCAUAAAGAAGGCUGAUCACCGAAGAAUUGAUGUUUUUGAAUUCUGGUGCUGGAGGAGACUCUUGAGAGUCCCAUGGACUGCAAGAAGAUCAAACCUCUCCAUUCUUAAGGAAAUCAGCCUUGAACGCUCACUGGAAGGACAGAUCCUGAAGCUGAGGCUCCAAUACUUUGGCCACCUCAUGAGAAGAGAAGACUCCCUAGAAAAGACCCUGAUGUUGGGAAAGAUGGAGGGCACAAGGAGAAGGGACGACAGAGGACGAGAUGGUGGGACAGUGUUCUCGAAGCUACCAACAUGAGUUUGACCAAACUGCGGGAGGCAGUGGAAGACAGGAGGGCCUGGCGUGCUCUGGUCCAGGGGGUCACAAAGAGUCGGACACAACUAAACAACAAAAUUUAGAGGAAAGGUGGGAUGGCUUAAUUAAAUAAAUGGGGAGCUUUGGAGCCUAUGUAUUGUAUUGCUUGUCCGUCAUCUCAAGUUCUCUGCAUCUACUUAGGCUCACCGAUGGAAGUCAGGGGCCAGUUUCCUUCUCACGGGAAAGCUGUGUUCUCAAUCCCUGUUUCUGUUUCCAUGAGUGAAAGGGUGUGAGAUUUUCUUGGGGUUUCUUAAAUGGCAGGUGAACCUUCAGGGUGGGGGACCUGGAAUUCCCUGGAAGAGCAAACCUUCUCCCCCUCUGCCGACCAUAGCUAUGGCCCUGCCUAGACUUUACACUGGGGGGUACAGUGUGUUGCAAGGUCUGUGUCUGAACCCCCCACCUUUGGGUCUCCUUAUACACACUGCCAAGAGAUUUAAGACCUUUUGCUAGAGUUAUAACAUGUGUUUGUUAUGAAGUGGUUUUCACCCUUAAUCUUACACCCACAAGAAGUUCUCACACUGGAGCAAUAAAGAAAGGUUGGUUUUAUGGCAUGAAAUGGAAGAGACGAAAUAUAUAAAUGCUGCUUCAGGCAGCAGAUCAUUCAUUGCAUACACACAUUGAUCCAAAGAGUAAAAGAAUCCCUAACUAUUCCCAAAAGCCUAAAGAAAGUGAGUCUGACAAUUUUGCCACAGAACCCGCAUGAAAAGCAAAGCGAGAAAGGGAGGAGGAAAGGUAUAUCCGUGUGUGUUGAUUCCUUGAGAGCGUUGAGUACAGUGAAAUUCCUUGGCGGAACUUGGAGAGAUAACCAGCCAUUGAAAAUCUAGGGUUUUUAUACUCAUUUUAGCCAAUGCAUCCAAGUGGAGAGGAGAGGUGGACUUUGGGACGAGCAAUUCUUAUAGUUCCAAUAUUUUUUCCUUCUGAUUGUUUCCUCUCUAUUAAAACCCUGGCUGUUUGCUUAAUUAGUAGUUGAAAGCAUAUAGUCCUGGUGAGCAAUGACUCAACAGGUUAUCUUUGCUUCAUGCCUUAAUGUUAUCUCACUGCAGUCUAACUCUAAUCCAAUCUUCUACAGGAGCAUUGAUUAAUUUUUGCUAAUUUCCAGAUUACUUGUGCUGACCUCUGCACAAACUAUUAGUUGUUCAGGAUGUCUCCUUGAUGCUUGACAAGAUACAUUUGUGAUAAGAACUAGGACCAGGUUCAGGAAAGUUCAUUCAGCUAUACAUUCCAUAUUGAACGAUGCCAGCUGCA
rnacentral:lncRNA from 1 species